UUCUCAAAUGUUCAACAUUCAUGCUGGAGAUGCGGUGAGGAUGAGGGACAUAUGACGCACAGACGGCCCGCAAAUGACCCACUCCCGACGCGGGAAGGUAGUGACGACAAAUAACAAUACAGGGCUCUUUAGAGGCCCUGUAAUUGUAAUGAGUCCACUUGAAAUCCUAUAACUCUGAUCAAUUGGAGGGAAGUCUGGUGCAGAGCCAGUGACCCGU